ACUCAAAUGAAUUGACGGGGACCCGCACAAGCGGUGGAUGAUGUGGUUUAAUUCGAUGCAACGCGAAAAACCUUACCUACCCUUGACAUGUCUGGAAUCUUUUAGAGAUAGAAGAGUGCCCGAAAGGGAGCCAGAACACAGGUGCUGCAUGGCUGUCGUCAGCUCGUGUCGUGAGAUGUUGGGUUAAGUCCCGCAACGAGCGCAACCCUUGCCAUUAGUUGCUACGAAAGGGCACUCUAAUGGGACUGCCGGUGACAAACCGGAGGAAGGUGGGGAUGACGUCAAGUCCUCAUGGCCCUUAUGGGUAGGGCUACACACGUCAUACAAUGGCUGGUACAAAGGGUUGCCAACCCGCGAGGGGGAGCUAAUCCCAUAAAACCAGUCGUAGUCCGGAUCGCAGUCUGCAACUCGACUGCGUGAAGUCGGAAUCGCUAGUAAUCGUGGAUCAGCAUGUCACGGUGAAUACGUUCCCGGGUCUUGUACACACCGCCCGU
rnacentral:rRNA from 1 species